rnacentral:rRNA from 1 species
GUGCCAGCAGCCGCGGUAAUACGUAGGGCGCAAGCGUUGUCCGGAAUUAUUGGGCGUAAAGAGCUCGUAGGCGGCUUGUCGCGUCUGCUGUGAAAGCCCGGGGCUUAACUCCGGGUGCGCAGUGGGUACGGGCAGGCUAGAGUGCAGUAGGGGUAACUGAAUUCCUGGUGUAGAGGUGAAAUGCGCAGAUAUCAGGAGGAACACCGAUGGCGAAGGCAGGCUACUGGGCUGUUACUGACGCUGAGGAGCGAAAGCAUGGGGAGCGAACAGGAUUAGAUACCCUGGUAGUCCAUGCCGUAAACGUUGGGCACUAGGUGUGGGGGACAUUCCACGUUUUCCGCGCCGUAGCUAACGCAUUAAGUGCCCCGCCUGGGGAGUACGGCCGCAAGGCUAA